CCUACGGGUGGCAGCAGUGAGGAAUAUUGGUCAAUGGACGAGAGUCUGAACCAGCCAAGUAGCGUGAAGGAUGACUGCCCUAUGGGUUGUAAACUUCUUUUAUAAAGGAUUAAAACGAGGCACGUGUGCCUUUUUGAAUGUACUUUAUGAAUAAGGAUCGGCUAACUCCGUGCCAGCAGCCGCGGUAAUACGGAGGAUCCGAGCGUUAUCCGGAUUUAUUGGGUUUAAAGAGAUCGUAGACGGGGUGUUACGUCAGUUGGGAAAGUUUGCGGCUCAACCGUAAAAUUGCAAUUGAUACUGGCAGUCUUGAGUACAGUGGAGGUAGGCGGAAUUCGGGGUGGAGCGGGGAAAUGCUUAGAUAUCACGAAGAACCCCGAUUGCGAAGGCAGCUUACUAAACUGUGACUGACAUUGAUGCUCGAAAGUGGGGGUAUCAAACAAGAUUAGAUACCCCGUGUAGUC
rnacentral:rRNA from 1 species